GCGGUCGUGGCGAAAUGGUAGACGCGCAACGUUGAGGUCGUUGUGAGCUAAGCUCAUGGGAGUUCAAGUCUCCCCGACCGCACCA
rnacentral:tRNA from 1 species